AAUCCAUGGUGAGGGCACAUUCUCAAUAGAUCCUUGUACCUCUCCCAUGUAUUGUAGAGUGUUUCUAAAUCCAUCUGCACAAAAGAAGAAAUAUCAUUCCGUAAUU
rnacentral:snoRNA from 1 species